AUGAUGUGGAUUCAGAUGGAACAUCCGAAGCAGCUCACUUUUACAUUCAGAAACCUGACCAAUGUGGGGCUUUUGGGUAUCUUUCCUGAGUGUGAUCUGAGCUGGACCAUAUUUAUCCUUGAAGCUGCACCUGCCCUGCAAAAUUUCAGAGUAUGUCUGUUGUCUCGAGAACGGCAUUCGUGUGCCAAAAUAGCAAAGGGCAUUGCUGAGAAGACCAAUUUGGUGUGGGAGCCAUCAAAGGAUUUGAAGCACCUGAACUUGAAGGUUCUCCAAAUGUCCGGGUUCGAGGAGGAAGACAAGGUGACAAACUACAUAAAGCUAGUCAUGGAGCGAACUAUGGGGUUGAAGAGAAUUGGGCUCCAUGGACAUUGA
rnacentral:rRNA from 1 species